rnacentral:rRNA from 1 species
CCUACGGGAGACAGCAGUCGAGAAUCAUUCACAAUGGAGGAAACCCUGAUGGUGCGACGCCGCGUGGAGGAAUGAAGGUCUUCGGAUUGUAAACCUCUUUCAUGUGGGAGCAAAUUAAAAAGAGAGUACCACUAUAUGAAGACACGGCUAACUCGGUGCCAGCAGCCGCGGUAAUACAGAGGUGUCAAGCGUUGUUCGGAAUCACUGGGCGUAAAGGGUGCGUAGGCUGUUUAGUAAGGCGUGUGUGAAAGGCGCGGGCUCAACCCGAGGACGGCACAUGAUACUGGCAGACUAGAGUACUGGAGGGGUAACCGGAAUUCUCGGUGUAGCAGUGAAAUGCGUAGAUAUCGAGAGGAACACUCGUGGCGAAGGCAGGUCACUGGACAUUAACUGACACUGAGGCACGAAGGCCAGGGGAGCGAAAGGGAUUAGAUACCCUAGUAGUC